rnacentral:misc_RNA from 1 species
AUAACGGAAAGGCUUUAGAGCCCUCUUAAACGCUAGUGCUUGCCUAAAAAACAAGCCUAGUAAACCCCUUGUGUGAACUGUUUUAUUGUCUCUGGUGGGACCUUUUCACUAAGCCACCAGUCUAUUUGUUAACCCCCGUUUUUAAAAACGUCUUAUCAAAUAUAAAAAUUUGAAA